CUUUAACCGUCUCAUUUGAAGCUGCCCAUCCCCACAUAGCUGAGCUCCCAGCAUGACUGGGGCAGUAAGACAACCCUGUUAGGACUAAAAAGCCAUUUCUGCAUCUCGAAGACACAGAUGCAACCCCAGUCUGGCAUUCAAGAGCGUAACUUUAUCAGUGGCACCUUAGAAUCGAGCCACUUUCUCCAGAGCCCUGACCUGUCACCACCAUGGGCCUUUCUGAGUCUGACCCGUGCUGCAGAGGAGAGAGUAAGCCUCGGCAAAGGAAAGUCACUUGCCCAAGGACACCAAGUCAUUUUGGUCAGGGCCAGGUCCACCGCCGAGAUCCUCGCUGCUCAUCAUGGUGUCUCAGGAGCAGCAACAUCAGCAUCACCCGGGAGCUGGCUCCUCUGGGCUGUGAUGCUUUCUCAGACUCUCCUGGUGUUGGAUGACCUUGCCAGUUUUGAGCGGUCAGGUAGAGCUUUAAUGAACUACUCUGAAAGACCCAAGCACUCAUAAGACAAAGCAACGGACAUGCAUUGAGUUCCCAGUCCUACCGUCUAACCGAGAUAUGACUAUGGAUCUGCUACUUGAUCUUUCUGAGCUCCAUCUGUAAAACACAGAGAAAAACAAUACCAGCAUCACACAACAGAGUCUUCUGCAGUUUGAGGACCCCACUCUGCCCAACCAACAGUUCUGGACUUGAGGACUUAAAAUAUCUCAACAGCCCUGCCCAAGCGCCACUAGAUUCCACUAGAGGACAAGGGCAGGCAUUUCCGUGUCAUCUGGGCACAUAGUGCAGG
rnacentral:lncRNA from 1 species